CUAACCGAGCGACUUCCUUCAUUUGACAGAUAUUUGCUGAGUGACCACCUGAUGCUCGUUGCUGUGUUUGGUGCUGAGUGGUGGGCAGAGUGGGAAACAAGGCACAACCCCUGCCCACAAGGAGCUUACCGUUCACAACGAAUCAACCAUCUGACCAGCUGUCGCUCCAGCCUGCAGCCCGCGAGCAGCUGCACGUUCACAACUUUGACAUCUGCUUGAAAGAACAAGUUUACUGCCUCCACAGGCACCCAGCAUCUGGCAAGAAAACCAGCCGUGUGACCCGGAGAGCUCCCUGGUGGAUGCCAGGAGGCAGCUGUGCAAGCUGAAUAACUAAGCCCUCCAUGGCCACACCGUGACCUCAGGGCCUGCUCACUCCAGGUCUUACAGGGUGUUUUCUUCAGAGAGGCCUCCUUCACCUUGUCCAGAGACAGCUUUCCAGGAGGCUCCAGGCCUAGCUGCCCUGGCAGACACCCAGGGAGGAAAGACAGCGUGGCCUUGGCAGCUGCCCGCCAAGAAGGAGCCCACAGGUACCAGGAAGCCAUGCCCUGUCCUGACCCCCUUCAGCAACCCUGUUACUCUGCCAUAUGGACUUGUUUGGGGACUAGUGGGAGAGAAAGAUUUGGGGUCUUUCAGCCCUGCUUUUCUGACAUCAAGGCUGCUGAUUCUCCAUCUGCUCCAGACUACCAGGCUGUAGGGAGGCUUUCAGCAGGAGGGAAGCAGACAGUAGGAUCCUGAAGACCCUUAAAAGUAAGGACUACUCUCCCCCACCUUUGCCUUCCCAGGUGUGAGAUAAUCAGCAGGAUUUGGGGUGGGUAUUUUGCAUGAAGAGAAACACGAUCCUCCAGGAGCCCUCUGGGAGGGAAAGGUGAUGACUUCAUUGGUUGCUGUACUACUUCUGAAGCUCAUAGAAAUAAGGCACCUUGUUCACCAGGCUGAUCCUCCCUUAAAUAAUAGCUCCUAUUUACAGAUCCAGUGGCUCUGCCAAGUACUUUAUACGCAUUGGCUCACUUUAAUCUUUACAACAGCACUGUCUUGACUGGCUCCUCUUAUUAUCAUCUCCACUUUACCAGAUGAGGAAUCUAAAAGUCUGAG
rnacentral:lncRNA from 1 species